rnacentral:tRNA from 1 species
AAGGAUUUAAGUUAAUAUAAACUUGGAACCUUCAAAGUUCCCCAUAAAGUAUUUCUUUAAGCCUUA